UGGGGAAUCUUCCGCAAUGGACGAAAGUCUGACGGAGCAACGCCGCGUGAGUGAUGACGGCCUUCGGGUUGUAAAGCUCUGUUAAUCGGGACGAAUGGUUCUUGUGCAAAUAGUGCGAGGAUUUGACGGUACCGGAAUAGAAAGCCACGGCUAACUACGUGCCAGCAGCCGCGGUAAUACGUAGGUGGCAAGCGUUGUCCGGAAUUAUUGGGCGUAAAGCGCGCGCAGGCGGAUUGGUCAGUCUGUCUUAAAAGUUCGGGGCUUAACCCCGUGAUGGGAUGGAAACUGCCAAUCUAGAGUAUCGGAGAGGAAAGUGGAAUUCCUAGUGUAGCGGUGAAAUGCGUAGAUAUUAGGAAGAACACCAGUGGCGAAGGCGACUUUCUGGACGAAAACUGACGCUGAGGCGCGAAAGCCAGGGGAGCGAACGGGAUUAGAUACCCCGGUAGUCCUGGCCGUAAACGAUGGGUACUAGGUGUAGGAGGUAUCGACCCCUUCUGUGCCGGAGUUAACGCAAUAAGUACCCCGCCUGGGGAGUACGACCGCAAGGUU
rnacentral:rRNA from 1 species